UUAUACAGCGAAACUGCGAAUGGCUCAUUAUAUAAGUUAUCGUUUAUUUGAUAGUACCUUACUACUUGGAUAACCGUGGUAAUUCUAGAGCUAAUACAUGCUAAAAAUCCCGACUUCGGAAGGGAUGUAUUUAUUAGAUACAAAACCAAUGCCCCUCGGGGCUCUCUGGUGAUUCAUGAUAACUCGUCGAAUCGCACGGCCUUGCGCCGGCGAUGGUUCAUUCAAAUUUCUUCCCUAUCAACUUUCGAUGUUUGGGUAGUGGCCAAACAUGGUGGCAACGGGUAACGGAGGGUUAGGGCUCGACCCCGGAGAAGGAGCCUGAGAAACGGCUACUACAUCCAAGGAAGGCAGCAGGCGCGCAAAUUACCCAAUCCCGAUACGGGGAGGUAGUGACAAUAAAUACUGAUACAGGGCUCUUUUGGGUCUUGUAAUUGGAAUGAGUACAAUUUAAAUCCCUUAACGAGGAACAAUUGGAGGGCAAGUCUGGUGCCAGCAGCCGCGGUAAUUCCAGCUCCAAUAGCGUAUAUUAAAGUUGUUGUGGUUAAAAAGCUCGUAGUUGAAUCUUGGGCCUGGCUGGCCGGUCCGCCUCACCGCGUGUACUGGUCCGGCCGGGUCUUUCACUCUGCGGAACCACAUGCCCUUCAGUGGGUGUGGCGGGGAAGCAGGACUUUUACUUUGAAAAAAUUAGAGUGCUCUAAGCAGGCCAAUGCUCGAAUACAUUAGCAUGGAAUAAUAAAAUAGGACGCGCGGUUCUAUUUUGUUGGUUUCUAGGACCGCCGUAAUGAUGAAUAGGGACAGUCGGGGGCAUCAGUAUUCAGUUGUCAGAGGUGAAAUUCUUGGAUCUACUGAAGACUAACUACUGCGAAAGCAUUUGCCAAGGAUGUUUUCAUUAAUCAGGAACGAAAGUUAGGGGAUCGAAGACGAUCAGAUACCGUCGUAGUCUUAACCAUAAACUAUGCCGACUAGGGAUCGGACGAUGUUAUUUAGUUGACUCGUUCGGCACCUUACGAGAAAUCAAAGUGC
rnacentral:rRNA from 1 species